AUGAACGCUAGCGGGAGGCCUAACACAUGCAAGCCGAGCGGUAGAGAUCUUUCGGGAUCUUGAGAGCGGCGUACGGGUGCGGAACACGUGUGCAACCUGCCUUUAUCUGGGAGAUAACCUUUCGAAAGGAAGAUUAAUACCCCAUAAUAUAUAGAGUGGCAUCACUUUGUAUUGAAAGCUCCGGCGGAUAGCGAUGGGCACGCGCAAGAUUAGAUAGUGGGUGAGGUAACGGCUCACCAAGUCAGUGAUCUUUAGGAGGCCUGAGAGGGUGAUCCCCCACACUGGUACUGAGACACGGACCAGACUCCUACGGGAGGCAGCAGUGAGGAAUAUUGGACAAUGGGUGAAAGCCUGAUCCAGCCAUCCCGCGUGAAGGACGACGGCCCUAUGGGUUGUAAACUUCUUUUGUAUAGGGAUAAACCUACCCUCGUGAGGGUAGCUGAAGGUACUAUACGAAUAAGCACCGGCUAACUCCGUGCCAGCAGCCGCAGUAA
rnacentral:rRNA from 1 species